GUAAAAGUGGGAAUAUUAGAUACACUCGAUUUUUGGCCUUCUAGGUUUCACUACAAUGUAUACUUUUUUCUUUCUCUUUGCUCUGUAUGUGAUAAGAAAAAAGUCUUUAAAGAAGAAAAAGUUACCAGAUUUGUAAACCAGUUUUCCAAUUACUGAGCUUCUGCAAAGAAAGAUGCCAUAAUUGCUCAAGGUGAAAGAAAAAGAAAGAGAUAUCAUAAAUUAUCAUGAAGAUCGAUGGUAGAAGCUUUCUGAAGACCCAAAGAGCACUGUGCCCUGUCUUACCUGUCAGACAUGAGAGAAUAAAACUGCUCACUCACCAGAAGAUACUUGUAUGCAACCAUCCUUCAGCUGGAUUUUUUUCUUCCCUACUUUCUUGGACACACACACAUGCACACACACACCAAAAAAUAACUUUAUCAUAAAGCUCCAACUAAGUAAGGGAUAAAGAUGAGUUGAAAGACAGAGAGUGGUUGGUAUGCAACAAGAUCAAAAAAAAAAAGAGAGAGAGAAAGAGAAAAAGAAGAAAAAUCUGAGAGUGGGAGUUGCCCCACUGGCUGUCAGUGGCAAGAAAAAGCACUGUGAAUCAAAAUGAAACAAGAAAGAUAAUAGAGGGGGAAGAAGUGUUGCCAGUGUGAUGCUCUCAGGAACUGCAAGAGAACAGCAAGCAAACAGAAUUCCUGUUAGCCAGUUGUGGAAUCAUACGGCAAAUUCUGUCCUGUGGACCAUGAGGUGGAGGCUACCUACAAUUUAGCAACAAGACAGAAGGAGUCUAGGAGACUGACAUUAUGGAGUGCCUUGCCAGGCCUGAGCCUCCCACCCAGACUUCCAUGUGAAAGAGGAAUGAGCUUCUAUCAUGGUGACAUCAUUGUUGUUUUGGUUUUCUGUCACUUAGAGCUGAAUGUAACCUAAUAUAUGCACACACAUGUGUCUGCACAUGCAUACAGAAAUGCCUGCAAAGAUAUUCAUCAUAGUGUUAACAGUAGUGCCUUGGGAUUGCAGUAUUUGUAGUGGUUUUUACCUUAUCUUCAUACUUCUCUGGGUAUAUGCGCCACUUCUUACAAAAGCGGUAAAUCAAAAGAAAAAUGUCAUAAUGCUCUCCACCUUCUGCCUCCAGUUUCAGUUCCAUGGCUGAGUUCUCACCUGCCCUCAGCCCAGCCAGAGUGCCGUGACUGUGGGUGACUGCUUGCCCUGCUCCUCUGGCUUGUCUGACCUUGAGGCCCAGGCUUCAUCUGCAAAACUGCAGCCACUGUCCACCAUUCUCUUGGGUGGGGAAGAAAGAUUAGUUCUGUGCCCAUCUCUUCCCCAGGAUGGGGGAGAAAGCACAAAAAGUCAAGCCAGUUAGUGUCCCUGGAGAGAAGACAGCUGGAAAUACACCUGUAUUUCAUUCACUUCUUCAGUAAAUAUCGAUUGAGGGCCUAUAUGUUCCAAGCAAUGUUCUAGGUAGGGCAAAGAGCAGUAAAUAAGAGUCUUUGUGGUCAUGAUGCUUGUACUCUAGCAGAAAGGACCAACCAUCAACAAGCCCGCAUUUAGGUGCCUCUGUGUGAAUGUGCCUGUCUGAGCCAGUCUGAGCUUGAACCCAUUUGUUAGUGAUGCUCCCACUUCCCAGAAGAUCUCAAUGUCUCCUUGUUUCAUUCAUUCAUUUGACAAACAUGUUCUGAGGGUGUAGACAUGCCAAGCUGUAAACUGGAAAUUUAAUGACAAGCAAGAUUGGGCCAGUCUAACAGAAGCAUCAGCACUACAAAAGCUUGCAAGUUGCAACAUGGUAAGAUGGGAGUUACCAUCCGCCAGAGCCCUAUCAGACUAUCAAAAGGAGCUCCCAGCCUUGCCUGAAGAGCAAUGCAAGGAAGGCACUGGGGACCAUAGUAGCUGAGCUAAGUCCUGAAGGGUGAAUGAAAAUUGCCAGGUUAUGUUUCAGCCUCAGCAGAAACAAUUCUUACUCAGGUGCUGAUUAACAGCUGCAGUAAAAU
rnacentral:lncRNA from 1 species